rfam:Ciona savignyi cont_46986, whole genome shotgun sequence.
UGAUCUACCCGAUCUCGUCUGAUCUCGGAAUUCAAGCAAUCUCGGGCUUGGUUAGUACUUGGAUGGGUGACCGCUUGGGAAUACCAAGUGUGAUAAGUA